GCCGGGUGCAGUGGCGUGCGCCUGUAAUCCAAGCUACUGGGAGGCUGAGACUGGCGGACCGUUUGAGCUCAGGGGUUCUGGGCUGUAGCGGACUAUGCCGAUCGGGUGUCCGCACUAAGUUCGGUAUCGAUAUGGUGCUCCUGGGGGAGCCCGGGACCACCAGGUUGUCUAAGGAGGGGUGCAUCGACCCAGGCCGGAAACGGAGCAGGUCAAAGCCCCCGUGCCGAUCAGUAGUGGGAUCGCGCCUGUGAAUAGACGCUGCAGUGCAGCCUGAGCAAAAUAGCGGGACCCAGUCUUUU
ensembl:misc_RNA Metazoa_SRP Metazoan signal recognition particle RNA